GGCCUGGUGGUCUAGAGGUAUGAUUCCUUCUUAGGGUCACGGUGCCUUCGGGGAUCGGCUUAUGGAGGAGGUCCCGGGUUCAAUUCCCGGCUAGGCCC